GCGGACCAGGGCGUGCGCUUCACGCCUCUUCUCGUGGAGCGCCUUGCUGACCGCCAGGGUCGUGCGAUCCGUCCGGGCCGCG
rnacentral:tRNA from 1 species